GGAGUGAGCAGUGCGGGAGCCGAGCGCGGCCACGGGCCAGGGGGCGGCGGGGUGUAGGGAUGGAGGGAAGGUGUUGGCCAUCCUGCUGAGAGCGCCCCGGGGCGGCCCCAGAAAGGGCGAAGAGGAAUCCUGGAGGAGCAGGCGGAGGGCGCUCGGCUGGGAGUGGGCGCCCUGCCGGAAGCGCCCCGACUGCGACGGAGAGCAGUCUCCGCUCUGGCACGCUCUGAGGGGUUCCCUCCUCCAUUUUGUGGCUCUUCAAACAUGGCCAGAUGGACGUAGUUGGAGGCCUAGCGCUCCCCAUUCCGCUUCCCUGUCCCCUGCUCCUUCCUUCAGCGAGGAGCUGCCUCGACCGGCACUGACCGUCCCAGUUCCCUGGAGAGCUAGUCCCUGAGGGCGGGAAGCCGGGGUUCGUCUCCCGCGGAGCCGGGACAGCGGUCAUUUCCUUCUUGCACAAGCAUCAUCCUCGCACGUCCGUUACUCAGAGCUUCUCCCCAGGCUGCAUUUGCCUCGCUGCCCAUGGUUCCGUGUUCCCGCUCCCAAGAGAGAACCCGCUGCCCUCAGGUUUCCCCCUCCCGCCUUAUUGCCUUUCGGGCGAGAGACUUCAGCUCUCAUCACUGUACUCAGCAGCAGUUGGCUCAGCUGAUCGGUCCUGUCUUGUGGAAAGCUUUCUUUUCUUUACCAUUUCCCUGCACUCUUCUGCACUUUUCUUUUUAGCUCACUGGCCGGGUCCUCUGGGGUUCCUUUGCUGGAUUUUUCUCCCCUUCCUGACCUCUCACUUGUUCAGGUGCCCAGGGCUUAGUCCGGGGCCCUCUUUUCACAGCCACUCCCUCAUGUAAUCCCAUGAAUAGUGCUCACAGAAGGCUCUAAUCCCAGCCUUUCCUCUGAACUCUAAAGGGUAUAUUUGUGAAAAGAAAAUAACUCGGGGCCCUGGCCCAAAUGAACUCUCCACUUAUGUACAAAACAACAAAAACCGUGGGAGCUCAAUUCACUAUGCCAAAAGGAAAAAAUUAAGCAAAAAGCUGAGUCAUGCAAGAAACUGCCUUUCUCUAUGUCCCUAAGCAGAUAGCUACAGAUAAAAGGUUAAAUGUCCCCACAGGUAGCUGCUCUGUCCUCACCUUAUCUUACUGAAGUGCUGAUUUACACAGCAGGAGGCAAAUACAUAAUUGACUAUUCCCCUGCCUGUUCCUUUUUCUAUUUGUGCAAUGUGUGGAUUCAGUAAUGACCAUGUUCUCCCUCUUUCCCCUCCAGCCCGCUCCUCCCUUUUAAAUAUUGAAGCCCUCAAAAUCAUCUUUAGAUAAAGGCACAGACCUCCCUCCCAAGCAUGUCCUUAACCUUGGCAAAAUAAACUUCCAAAUUGAUUGAGAGCUGGUUUUGGUUUACAAGCUGGCAGCCAAAGGAAGUGACUCAGUGGAGGUGGCCCUGACCUUUGACAAAUCUAUCAGUGCUUGGUACCAGCUUGGGCUAUUUUUAUUGCUCAAACAGGACAAUUUGCUGAGGCCUGGGAGCACCCCACUCCAGAGAAUCCCUGAUGUCCCAAAAUUUGGUUGAGAUCUAAAGUUUAUUUUGCUGUACACCUCUUUGUCUGCAGUUUUACUUACUCCCAACAAAGAAGGUGCGUUUUCCUGCCUCCAUGACGAUGGAGGGGAGGCAACUCCU
rnacentral:lncRNA from 1 species